UGGGGAAUAUUGCACAAUGGGCGCAAGCCUGAUGCAGCCAUGCCGCGUGUAUGAAGAAGGCCUUCGGGUUGUAAAGUACUUUCAGUCGGGAGGAAGGUGUCAAGGUUAAUAACCUUGGCAAUUGACGUUACCGACAGAAGAAGCACCGGCUAACUCCGUGCCAGCAGCCGCGGUAAUACGGAGGGUGCAAGCGUUAAUCGGAAUUACUGGGCGUAAAGCGCACGCAGGCGGUUGAUUGAGUCAGAUGUGAAAUCCCCGGGCUUAACCCGGGAAUUGCAUCUGAUACUGGUCAGCUAGAGUCUUGUAGAGGGGGGUAGAAUUCCAUGUGUAGCGGUGAAAUGCGUAGAGACGUGGAGGAAUACCGGUGGCGAAGGCGGCCCCCUGGACAAAGACUGACGCUCAGGUGCGAAAGCGUGGGGAGCAAACAGG
rnacentral:rRNA from 1 species